rnacentral:rRNA from 1 species
UAAUACGGAGGAUCCAAGCGUUAUCCGGAAUUAUUGGGUUUAAAGGGUCCGCAGGCGGCCUAUUAAGUCAGAGGUGAAAUCCAACAGCUCAACUGUUGAACUGCCUUUGAUACUGAUAGACUUGAGUUAUUGUGAAGUGGUUAGAAUGUGUGGUGUAGCGGUGAAAUGCUUAGAUAUCACACAGAAUACCCAUUGCGAAGGCAGAUCACUAACAAUAUACUGACGCUCAUGGACGAAAGCGUGGGGAGCGAACGGGAUUAGAUACCCCGGUAGUCCACGCCGUAAACGAUGGAUACUAACUGUUCGGUUUUAGGACUGAGUGGUCAAGCGAAAGUGAUAAGUAUCCCACCUGGGGAGUACGCUCGCAAGAGUG